UUGGUGAUUGUUAAGGCAUC
rnacentral:miRNA from 1 species